rnacentral:lncRNA from 1 species
CAAGGUGCUGGCCCCAAGCAGAGAUAAGAAGAUAAAUUUUAAAAAUCCUGCAGUCACAGACAGCAAGUGGCAAAACUGAGAUCUGAACCAAUGUCUUCCACAUGGAGAAAAGUGACUGGGGCUACUGGCUCUUUAGCUUCUGUAGCUCAGAGGAAGCAACUCAGGUGGGCUGGGACCCCCGCGCUUGCUUCAGGCAUCUGCUCUCUGAGGACCCCACUUUCAGGGCCUUUUAUCUGGGAAUCUCAAAGCACUUCAUAAACUUUAAUUAAUUCUUGCAACAAGCCCCCUGAGGCGUUAUGGGGAGUUAUCCGAGCUGACUCAGAAGUUUCACCCUGGUACUGGCUUAUCUUCAUGUGAGCUGAGCAAAGCCUGCACACCCAUUUCUCAGAUGAGGAAAAUGGAGGCUCUGAAAGUGAAGUGGCAUAUUUGGGGUCACACAGGAGAACUAGGAUUCCAACCAUGUUCUGGCUUGAAGUUGAUGCUCUUGUCACUCAGCCAGCUGACACCUGGUACCCGGUUGUGUUGCAGGAAGGCUUAUUAAUCCUACAAUGGCAUUUCCAGAGGACGUUGCCUCACCACCACCAGCAAAGCUCCUUCCCUUGACCUGGAGACACUGAAGCGGCUCCGGAUGCUUUGCUCUUUCCUCCGACAUGACUGUUGAAGUCAGACAAGCCUGGAUUUGAACUCUGGUUCUGUACCCAUUGUGGUUAAUCUUGGGCAAGUUCCAACCUCUCCCUGCCUCAGUUUCCUCAUUAGUAAAAGGAGCUGUGGCAAGGAUCAAAUGAGUUAACGAACACGAAAUCCCACUGCACAGAGCCCCACACGUGGCAAGGGCUCCAUCAGGGUCCCCAUCUGCUCUGCCAUUCCUGUCCCGCCAGCUGCCUGCAUUCUGUCCUAGCAGAGCCGACUGAGGAGCACCAGUGCUAUCCAAUUCUUUCCUCUGUUGCUUUUGCCAAAAUCCUGGCUGGGACUGCGGCUCUCCUUCACCCAGGUCAUGACAACACCCAAGAGCAGUCACUACAGCUGCUCCUGCUAUGUGACAGCUCGGAGAGACAGAGGAUUAGCUGGGGUUACCCCACUGUGGAUAUGUCAUGCUUGUCUCUUUCAGAUCCUGCUAAAGUGGAGUGUUGAACUUUAAGGUGCUUCCUGCCUCCAAGCCUGCAAGCCUGGAUCUCCCAGGAUUCUCUUCUGCCCCUGACAGCGUUAGCAUUGCAAGCGCAGCCUUGGGGAAUGAAGUGUCCCUUCCCAGUGCCGCUGAGAGAGGGGCAAGAACUUGGGUGCAGUCCCAUGGCCUGAAUGAACGGUGUUUCUCAGGCAUGGCAAAUCUGAAAGGAAUCAACACAUUUUUCUGUUGGAUUCUCUCUUUAAAAAUGGGAAUGGCGGCACAAGCACAUUUCAGUUCGAACAGGUUCUUGGACGCCAGCUCACCUGCAGGCUCCUGUGUUCUUUCAUGCUCCUCCAUCCGCUCUUCCUUUCAGGCCCUAAGAAUGCGCCCCUAGCACUGGGGCCUGGAGCACAGGCCCCCACAUACUGCCUGCAGCUCAGCCCUGAAAUGACAUUAGCUGGGGGUGUUGGAGCCAGCCCGGCCACCAGGCCUCUUAGACUGGUUGUCUGGGACACUGCCUGCAGGACAAGCCCUCAGCCCUUUCCUUCCCCUCACUGGACUGUGGGCACGACAGGGAAAGCAUGUCCCAUGUGCUAACUUUGCCCAGAGGUGGCCUGUCCAGCCCCCUCUCCAGGUGACCUUGCCCCAUAGGGGGAAAAGGUACAUGCCGCUACCGCUGCAGACUUCUGGGUACUUCUACCAGGCAGAUGGCCCUGCCACCAGGAGCCAGGGGCUGGCCACCAACCUGGUGCUCCAGAGUGCACAAGGCCUCCCCUGGUCUUGGGCCCCCUCACCCCAUCAGUCUGCUGUCCUCUCAGCCUCCUGAUCUGGGUUGGUCUGAGCCAGUCCCUCAGACCCUGACCAGGUGGAAUUUCUGAGCCUGGCCUUGGCCAAUCCCACCCAAAUCUGGCCCCGAGGGCCUGUCCUCCCCUUUCUUGGGCUGUCUGCCUUCCUAGACAGGCCUUUCUUAUUUCAACAGCAGCGGAAUUGCAUAAAUAUUUGCCAAGUCCAUGUGUCUAGACAACCUUGAGGAUGUCCCACAAUGGAGCAUGGAAUCCCUCCACAAAUGGGAAUUAGACUUCUUCACUGCCAGGGGUCCUCCUAGAAGUUUUAAGACCAUCACAGAGGGCAACUGUAAAAGAAUGAGGAUGGUGUGUUUGUGUGUGUGUGCACACACCUGUGUGUAUGAGGCCCGUAGAAUCCAAUGUGAAGGACUGAAUACAAGCCACAUUACAAAAAUGGCCCCAAAUACAGCAAAGCACAUCCGACAGGGCCGGGCCUCCCCUCUCCAGUGAUGGGGGUGAACAGAGGGGUGGGCUCAUUCUUUAAGGCAAAGCUGUUUCUUCUCAUUUUAGAAAAUAACAUUUAUGGCCUGACACUGUGGCUCACACCUGAAAUUCCAGCACUUUGGGAGGUUGAGGUGGGAGGACAGCUUGAGCCCAGGAGUUCAAGACCAGCCUGAGCAACAUAGUGAGACUCUGUCUUUACAAAAAACUUUAAAAAAUUAGUUGGGUGUGGUGUUGCAUGCCUGUAGUCCCAGCUACUCCAGGAAGCUGAAGUGGGAGGAUUGCUUGAGCCCAGGAGUUAGAGGCUGCUGUAAGCUACGAUCGCACCACUGUAGUCCCGCCUGGGUGACAGGGCAAGACCCUGUCUUAAACAAAAAAUUAAUAGUACUUUUAAAAAGUGAGUGCUCCUUAUUACAACCACCAGGAUGCUUAAUGGUUAUGAGGUUUCCUUUCAGGGUGAUGAAAACAUUCUGGAAGUCAACAGUGGUGCUGGUUGCAGGACAUUGUGAAUGUACUGAAUGCCACUAAAUGGUACACUUUAUUUAUUUAUUUAUUUAUGUUCAGAUGGAGUUUUGCUCUUGUUGCCCAGGCUGGAGUGCAAUGGCUCG